GAUUCAAUUAUUAGCAGAAUUGUUUAUGAAGUUCUGUCUAUCAAAGACAUGGCUGCCGAAGAAACUGUUCAGUUGCACAACUUACUGGACGAGCUGAUACUGGACUUGGGCUCGGUGCUGGCUUCUGUCGAGAAACAUAGCAGGAAAUCACUCGACAUCCUUGUACCGUCGUGGAGAAAACUAAAACGCUUAUCUGAGUUAUUGGAGAUGU